rnacentral:rRNA from 1 species
ACAGGGAUUGCCUCAGUAACGGCGAGUGAAGCGGCAACAGCUCAAAUUUGAAAUCUGGCCUUACGGUCCGAGUUGUAAUUUGUAGAGGAUGUUUUGGGUACCGCCGCGGUUUAAAUUUCUUGGAACAGAAUGUCAAAGAGGGUGAGAGUCCCGUCUUGGAUCGCGGUAGGGCCUGUGUAAAACUCCUUCGACGAGUCGACUUGUUUGGGAAUGCAGGUCAAAAUGGGUGGUAAAUUUCAUCUAAAGCUAAAUAUUGGCCAGAGACCGAUAGCGCACAAGUAGAGUGAUCGAAAGAUGAAAAGCACUUUGAAAAGAGAGUUAAACAGUAUGUGAAAUUGUUGAAAGGGAAGCGCUGGCAACCAGACUCGUGCGCGGGGUUCCCCCUUGCUUCUGCUUGGGUCACUUCCCCGUGUCCGGGCCAUCAUCAGUUUCGGGGGCCGGUUAAAGGCUCUGGGAAUGUAUCUACUCCUUCGGGGGUAGACUUAUAGCCCAGGGUGUCAUGCGGCCACUCGGGACUGAGGAACGCGCUUCGGCGAGGAUGAUGGCGUAAUGGUUGUCAGCGACCCGUCUUGAAACACGGACCAAGGAGUCUAACAUCUAUGCGAGUGUUCGGGUGUCAAACCCUUGCGCGGAAUGAAAGUGAACGGAGGUAGGAAGGCUUAAGCCUGCACUAUCGACCGAUCCUGAUGUCUUCGGAUGGAUUUGAGUAAGAGCAUAGCUGUUGGGACCCGAAAGAUGGUGAACUAUGCGUGAAUAGGGUGAAGCCAGAGGAAACUCUGGUGGAGGCUCGCAGCGGUUCUGACGUGCAAAUCGAUCGUCAAAUUUGCGUAUAGGGGCGAAAGACUAAUCGA